GAGUUUGGAACCUGGCUCAGGACGAACGCUGGCGGCGUGCUUAACACAUGCAAGUCGAACGAUGAUGCCCAGCUUGCUGGGCGGAUUAGUGGCGAACGGGUGAGUAAUACGUGAGUAACCUGCCCUUGACUCUGGGAUAAGCCUGGGAAACUGGGUCUAAUACUGGAUACUACCUCUUACCGCAUGGUGGGUGGUGGAAAGGGUUUUACUGGUUUUGGAUGGGCUCACGGCCUAUCAGCUUGUUGGUGGGGUAAUGGCUCACCAAGGCGACGACGGGUAGCCGGCCUGAGAGGGUGACCGGCCACACUGGGACUGAGACACGGCCCAGACUCCUACGGGAGGCAGCAGUGGGGAAUAUUGCACAAUGGGCGGAAGCCUGAUGCAGCGACGCCGCGUGAGGGAUGACGGCCUUCGGGUUGUAAACCUCUUUCAGUAGGGAAGAAGCGAGAGUGACGGUACCUGCAGAAGAAGCGCCGGCUAACUACGUGCCAGCAGCCGCGGUAAUACGUAGGGCGCAAGCGUUGUCCGGAAUUAUUGGGCGUAAAGAGCUCGUAGGCGGUUUGUCGCGUCUGCUGUGAAAGCCCGGGGCUCAACCCCGGGUCUGCAGUGGGUACGGGCAGACUAGAGUGCAGUAGGGGAGACUGGAAUUCCUGGUGUAGCGGUGAAAUGCGCAGAUAUCAGGAGGAACACCGAUGGCGAAGGCAGGUCUCUGGGCUGUUACUGACGCUGAGGAGCGAAAGCAUGGGGAGCGAACAGGAUUAGAUACCCUGGUAGUCCAUGCCGUAAACGUUGGGCACUAGGUGUGGGGGACAUUCCACGUUUUCCGCGCCGUAGCUAACGCAUUAAGUGCCCCGCCUGGGGAGUACGGCCGCAAGGCUAAAACUCAAAGGAAUUGACGGGGGCCCGCACAAGCGGCGGAGCAUGCGGAUUAAUUCGAUGCAACGCGAAGAACCUUACCAAGGCUUGACAUUCACCGGACCGCCCCAGAGAUGGGGUUUCCCUUCGGGGCUGGUGGACAGGUGGUGCAUGGUUGUCGUCAGCUCGUGUCGUGAGAUGUUGGGUUAAGUCCCGCAACGAGCGCAACCCUCGUUCUAUGUUGCCAGCACGUGAUGGUGGGGACUCAUAGGAGACUGCCGGGGUCAACUCGGAGGAAGGUGGGGAUGACGUCAAAUCAUCAUGCCCCUUAUGUCUUGGGCUUCACGCAUGCUACAAUGGCCGGUACAAAGGGUUGCGAUACUGUGAGGUGGAGCUAAUCCCAAAAAGCCGGUCUCAGUUCGGAUUGAGGUCUGCAACUCGACCUCAUGAAGUCGGAGUCGCUAGUAAUCGCAGAUCAGCAACGCUGCUGAAUACGUUCCCGGGCCUUGUACACACCGCCCGACAAGUCACGAAAGUUGGUAACACCCGAAGCCGGUGGCCUAACCCCUUGUGGGAGGGAGCCGUCGAAGGUGGGACUGGCGAUUGGGACUAAGUCGUAACAAGGUUAACCGUAA
rnacentral:rRNA from 1 species